rnacentral:pre_miRNA from 8 species
UACAAUCCAAUGAGGUUUCUAAUUUCUCCACAUCUUUGGUAAUAAGUUUUGGCAAAGAUGUGGAAAAAUUGGAAUCCUCAUUCGAUUGGUUAUAAGCA